GUCAGGCACCUCAAGGCCAACUCUGCAGUGGUCAGUUGGAUGUCCUGGAAGAUGAGGUUGUCAUUGGAUUCGCCAUCUCUCAGCAGAAGAAGGAUGUGAGGAUGCUGCGCCUUCAUCCAGGAAGUGAACACCACCACCCGCCAUGCGCCCUCUGGGACCUGGAGGAGGACACGGAGUACAUCUGCAUGUGCAGGCCAUCUCCAUUCAGGGACAGAGCCCAGCCAGCGAGCCCGUGCUCUUCAAGACCCUCGAGAGGCUGAGAAGAUGGGCUCCAAGAACAAAGGCAGGCCCUGGGCAUGUUGGAGGAGCAGAGUGGGGGCAGUUGAGGCCAGAGCAGUGGGGGGCAUAACACUUCUCCCGCUGUCCUCCCCACAACUAAGUAAAGCAGCACCCCAUCAAGGUUAGGACCCCAAAUCAGGACACUUCUUCGGGUAUGUAAAUUCUCACCUUUGGAUUAAAUCCUAUAGCAGCCACCCCAGGUAACCAUGGCUAUGUGCUCCCACCUCUUUGUGAUAGGUAUGUGGGCACCUUAUAGAGAUAAGCGCUUAUUGUUGUGGGCUUAGCCCUAGAAGAAUGGCUGGGAGAGGAAAGGAGCCCUGCCCAGUGUCUCUUUCUCCAUAGAUGAGGUGACUCAUGAAGGAGAUGGGAAGGAACCAACAGCUAUGACAGGUGAGGUGCUGAUCAUCGCGGGUGGUCCUGUUCAUGUGGGCAGGUGUCAUUGCCCUCUUCUGCCGCCAGUAUGACAUUAUUAAGGACAACGAACCCAAUAACAACAAGGAGAAAACUAAGAGUGCAUCUGAAACCAGCACUCCUGAGCACCAGGGCGGGGGCUCCUCCACGCAGCAAGAUAUGAAAUCCUUUCAGUGCUUGCUCUGAGCAGCUCAGAAGAAAGACAGUAGAGAAUGAGAGGGAUCUCAUGAUUCUGACUGACGAUUCUCCAACAAAUAUCUGGCCCUCUCUGCAUCUCCUCCUCCUUCCAUCUUGUACCCUCCUGGCCUCACUGUCCUCUCUGCAGCUUUCUCUCUUUCUGGCGCCUUUUCCUGAAGCCUCUUAUUAACCCCCUAUUUCCAGAAGCACCUCAACAAUGUCAGUGGCUGAGGCUGUGCCCAGAGGUAGAUGUGCAGGAUAUAAAGCGAAUCUAGUGAGAGAGAUGACUGCUGGGGGUGGAGUGGGUACCAGGGCUCUGAGUCCAUGACUCAGUUUUGGCCACUCAGCUGAGUGAGGCCGGGAAGGAUGGGUUGGAAAAGGCAGACAGACAAGACCUCCAGGCAUGGCUGCUCUUCUUUCCACAAUGAACAACAGCCUGGCUUUUAGGCUGCAGCCCUCUUGGCUCCUUUUCUCCUUCUGUGCUGUUUCCACCUUCCAAGAAGCCUAUUCAGUUAGCUUUGGCCACUUCUCUAAUUUCUUUCCUCCCAGUUUCCAAACAAGCCCCUCAAUGAACAUCAUUGAAGCAUGACUGCCUGUCUGAAGAGAGAAAGAUUUCAUUUUUCCUUGCUGGUCCCCAGGUCCUGGGCACAGGGAGAGGGCCGGCUGCAUCAAGGGAGGGGAGGCACAACAAGCUGCAGUUCUCUCUUCCCUCUUAGUCUGAUGAAAGAGCCUGAACUACAAACCCAAAUUCUGCAAAAAAUAAUAAAAGCCACAAAACUAAAAAGGGCUGGCCCCAUCCUAGAAAAGGCAAAGCUGCAUGAAAUUGCCCUUCUGCCUCCUCACCUCUCCUGGACUGGCCUCCUCUUUGAGAAAACGCACAACGCUCUGGGAGAACUGACAGGCUCAAGAUUGACUCAUGCUGUGUCUUUUAGACCAGGGAGCAUCGGAGGAGAGGAUGCUGUGGAGCUGCCUGCUGUGCAGGGACAUGGCUGUCAUCAA
ensembl:lncRNA